GAAUUCCCGGGGAAAGGCUGGCUCUGGAGAGUCCCUCUCUUUCCUCAUGCCUGGAGUGGCUACCUAGGACUGAGGAUAGAGGGAAUGAAAAGCAGGAGUUUGUUGAAGGCCUUCAAUAGGUGCACCUUGGGCGGUCAAAGCCUCCCAGAUGCUGGUCGUGAGUUUUUCACACUUUUAUAUAAGUUUGGUGCAUUUACAUAUCAGGGGUUAAUCCUCCAAUUACAGCCUCAGGUAAUGGAGUUAUUUACUCCAAUUACAGCCUCAGGUAAUGGAGUUAUUUACUCCAAGUUUGCUCCCCUCAAUUCACUGUUGUUUACAUCUCUGGGAGCUUGAGACAUUCAGGUAUUUUUGAGUUUCAGAGAGGAAUUCUUGCAUCUAAAUAAAAUGGGAGAAUAGCAGGCUGUGGAGUUGUAGAGUUAUACACUAAAGUAGUACAGGGUCUGAAAAAUAGAAAA